rnacentral:rRNA from 1 species
GUCUAGGGGGUGUAGCAAUACAUCACCGGCGGACGGGUGCGUAACGCGUGGGAAUGUACCUAUUGGUUCGGAACAACUGAGGGAAACUUCAGCUAAUACCGAAUGUGCCCUAACGGGGAAAGAUUUAUCGCCAAUGGAUCAGCCCGCGUUCGAUUAGCUAGUUGGUGGGGUAACGGCCCACCAAGGCGACGAUCGAUAGCUGUUCUGAGAGGAAGAUCAGCCACACUGGGACUGAGACACGGCCCAGACUCCUACGGGAGGCAGCAGUUGGGAAUCUUGGACAAUGGGGGAAACCCUGAUCCAGCCAUGCCGCGUGAGUGAUGAAGGCCUUCGGGUUGUAAAACUCUUUCGCGCACGACGAUAAUGACGGUAGUGCGAGAAGAAGCUCCGGCUAACUUCGU